UUACCCACUCCCGGCACGGGGAGGUAGUGACGGAAAAAUAACGAUACNGGACUCAUCCGAGGCCCCGUAAUCGGGAAUGGGUACACUUUAAAUCCUUUAACGAGGAUCCAUUGGAAGGGCAAGUCUGGUGCCAGCAGCCGCGGUAAUUCAAGCUCCAAUAGCGUAUAUUAAAGUUGUUGCGGUUAAAAAGCUCGUAGUUGAAUCUGUGUCCCACACUGUUGGUUCACCGCUCGCGGUGUCAACUGGCAGCUUGUGGUACGUCCUACCGGUGGGCUUAGCUCCUUCACGGGAGCGGUCCAACUAAUAUCCCAUCGCGGUGCUCUUCAUCGAGUGUCGAGGUGGGCCGGUACGUUUACUUUGAACAAAUUAGAGUGCUUAAAGCAGGCUCUUCUCGCCUGAAUACUGUGUGCAUGGAAUAAUGGAAUAGGACCUCGGUUCUAUUUUGUUGGUUUUCGGAACCCCCAGGUAAUGAUUAA
rnacentral:rRNA from 1 species